GUGGAUUAGAUACCCUGGUAGUCCACGCCGUAAACGAUGAUAACUAGCUGUUCGGGCUCUACGAGCUUGAGUGGCGCAGCUAACGCAUUAAGUUAUCCGCCUGGGGAGUACGGUCGCAAGAUUAAAACUCAAAGGAAUUGACGGGGGCCUGCACAAGCGGUGGAGCAUGUGGUUUAAUUCGAAGCAACGCGCAGAACCUUACCAGCGUUUGACAUCCUUGUCGCGGAUAGUGGAGACACUUUCCUUCAGUUCGGCUGGACAAGUGACAGGUGCUGCACGGCUGUCGUCAACU
rnacentral:rRNA from 1 species